rnacentral:lncRNA from 1 species
AUGACCUCAGGCUAGGUACGACCGACAACCCAAUUACUUGAAUUUUGUAUACAAACACGUACACCUCUUUUCGCCUUCCAAUUUGUUAUGAAAAUGGUUUUGAAAAAGGAACUUGAUGUUGGAUCAAACAUUGAAUUUAUUAUGAAAAGAGUGAGUGAUGAUUGAAGGUGAGAGAUAGAAUGAGGUUGAGACGAAAAUGGAGAGGAG